UAAACGCUGGCACCAUGCCUAAUACAUGCAUGUCGUACGAGAGUCCUUCGGGACUCGAGUGGCAAAUGGGUGAGUAACACGUAAGGAACUUCCCCUAGCGACGAGGAUAACGGUGGAAACGGCUGCUAAUACUGGAUAGUACAUCGGACCGCAUGAUCUGAUGUUUAAAGGCCCGUUUGGGUCACGCUAGGAUGGCCUUGCGGCGCAUUAGAUAGUUGGUGAGGUAACGGCCCACCAAGUCUAUGAUGCGUAGCUGCACUGAGAGGUGAAACAGCCACAUUGGGACUGAGACACGGCCCAAACUCCUACGGGAGGCAGCAGUAGGGAAUUUUCGGCAAUGAGCGAAAGCUUGACCGAGCAAUGGUGCGUGAGCCGAUGAAGGUCUUUGGAUUGUAAAGCUCUUUUAUUGGGGAAGAAAAACUCGAUUAGGAAAUGAAUCGAAAUUGACGGUACCCAUUGAAUAAGCCCCGGCCAACUAUGUGCCAGCAGCAGC
rnacentral:rRNA from 1 species